CUUUUGGGUCCUAUAAUUGGAAUGAGUACAAUUUAAAUCCGUUAACGAGGAACAAUUGGAGGGCAAGUCUGGUGCCAGCAGCCGCGGUAAUUCCAGCUCCAAUAGCGUAUAUUAAAGUUGUUGCAGUUAAAAAGUUCGUAGUUGAACUUUAGACCUGACCGGGCGGUCCGCCUAAUGGUGUGUACUGUCUGGCCGGGCCUUACUUCUUGGUGAGCCGGCAUGCCCUUCAUUGGGUGUGUCGGGGAACCAGGACCUUUACCUUGAGAAAAUUAGAGUGUUUAAAGUAGGCUUAUGCCGGAAUACAUUAGCAUGGAAUAAUAAAAUAGGACGUGCGGUUCUAUUUUGUUGGUUUCUAGAGUCGCCGUAAUGAUUAAUAGGGAUAGUUGGGGGCAUUUGUAUUGCGUUGUUAGAGGUGAAAUUCUUGGAUUUACGCAAGACAAACUAUUGCGAAAGCAUUUGCCAAGGAUGUUUUCAUUAAUCAAGAACGAAGGUUAGGGGAUUGAAAACGAUUAGAUACCGUUGUAGUCUUAAUAGUAAACUAUGCCGACUAGGGAUCGGACGACCUUAAUAUUAUGCGUCGUUCGGCACCUUACGAGAAAUCAAAGUCUUUGGGUUUUGGGGGGAGUAUGGUCGCAAGGUUGAAAUUUAAAGGAAUUGACGGAAGGGCACCACCAGGAGUGGAGCCUGCGGCUUAAUUUGAUUUAACAUGGGGAAACUCACCAGGUCCAGAUAUAAUUAGGAUUGAUAGAUUGAUAGUUCUUUCUUGAUUUUAUGGGUGGUGGUGCAUGGCCGUUUUUAGUUGGUGGAGUGAUUUGUCUGGUUAAUUCCGAUAACGAACGAGACCUUAACCUGCUAAAUAGCCUGGCCGGCUUUUGCUGGUCACUGGCUUCUUAGAGGGAUUGUCAGCGUUUAGCUGACGGAAGUUUGAGGUAAUAACAGGUCUGUGAUGUCCUUAGAUGUUCUGGGCCGCACGCGCGCUACACUGACAGAGCCAGCGAGUUUUUUUUCCUUGGCCGGAAGGUCAUGGGUAAUCUUGUGAAACUCUGUCGUGCUGGGGAUAGAGCAUUGUAAUUAUUGCUCUUCAACGAGGAAUUUCUAGUAAGCGUGAGUUAUCAGCUCGCGUUGAUUACGUCCCUGCCCUUUGUACACACCGCCCGUCGCUACUACCGAUUGAAUGGCUUAGUGAGACCUCCGGAUUGGCUUUGGGGAGUCGGCAACGACACCCCGUUGCUGAAAAGUUGGUCAAACUUGGUCAUUUAGAGGAAGUAAAAGUCGUAACAAGGUUUUCCGUAGGUGAACCUGCGGAAG
rnacentral:rRNA from 1 species